AGAGUUUGAUCAUGGCUCAGCGCGAACGCUGGUGGCAUGGCUAAAACAUGCAAGUCGAACGAGAAAGCAUCUUCGGAUGCGAGUACAGUGGCGAAAGGGCGAGUAAUGCGUUCCUAACGUGCCCCGAGGUCAGGGAUAGCACUGGGAAACUGGUGGUAAUACCUGAUGACCCCGAUUGAUCGCAUGGUUAGUCGGGCAAAGGUUUACUGCCUCGGGAUCGGGGAACGUCCUAUCAGCUUGUUGGUGAGGUAACGGCUCACCAAGGCGCAGACGGGUAGCCGGUGUGAGAGCACGACCGGCCGCAUCGGGACUGAGACACUGCCCGGACUCCUACGGGAGGCUGCAGUAACGAAUAUUCCGCAAUGCGCGAAAGCGUGACGGAGCAAUGCCGCGUGUAGGAUGAAGCCCCUCGGGGUGUAAACUACUGUCAGGGACCAGCAACACAAUGAGCGGUCCCAGAGGAAGGGCCGGCUAACUUCGUGCCAGCAGCCGCGGUAAUACGAAGGGCCCGAGCGUUGCGCGGAAUCAUUGGGCUUAAAGGGUGCGUAGGCGGACUUGUAAGUGCUUUGUGAAAGCCCCUGGCUCAACCGGGGAAUUGCUUAGUAGACUGCAAGUCCUGAGGUCGGCAGAGGUUGUCGGAACCAUAGGUGUAGCGGUGAAAUGCGUAGAUGUCUAUGGGAACGCCGAAGGAGAAAUCAGACAACUGGGCCGAUUCUGACGCUGAGGCACGAAAGCGUGGGUAGCGAAGAGGAUUAGAUACCCUCGUAGUCCACGCCCUAAACGAUGUGCACUAGGUCUUGGAGGUUCUGACACCUGCAGGGCCGACGUAAAAACAUUAAGUGCACCGCCUGGGGAGUACGGUCGCAAGAUUAAAACUCAAAGGAAUUGACGGGGGCUCACACAAGCGGUGGAGCAUGUGGCUUAAUUCGAGGCAACGCGAAGAACCUUAUCCUGGGUUUGACAUGUAUGGAUUAGCUUCCUGAAAGGGAAGUGACGCGUUUACGUGGAACAUACACAGGUGCUGCAUGGCUGUCGUCAGCUCGUGCCGUGAGGUGUCGGGUUAAGUCCCUCAACGAGCGAAACCCCUAUCCCUAGUUGCCAGCGAGUCAUGUCGGGGACUCUAGGGAGACUGCCGGUGUCAAACCGGAGGAAGGUGGGGAUGACGUCAAGUCCUCAUGGCCUUUAUGCCCAGGGCUGCACACGUGCUACAAUGGCGUGGACAGAGCGAAGCAAUACCGCAAGGUGGAGCAAAUCGCAUAAAACACGCCCCAGUUCGGAUUGUGGUCUGCAACUCGACCACAUGAAGGUGGAAUCGCUAGUAAUCGCGUAUCAGCUACGACGCGGUGAAUAAGUUCCUGAGCCUUGUACACACCGCCCGUCACGUCAUGGAAGCCGGGAGCACCCGAAGUGGCCUCGUUUCAGAGGUCCCUACGGUGAGCUCGGUGACUGGGACGAAGUCGUAACAAGGUA
rnacentral:rRNA from 1 species